AGAUCAAAGAAUAGUGAAGUAAGAGAAAGAAAGAUCAGAGAGAAGAUGGUGUUGAUUGAUAAAUUAUGGGAUGAUGUUAUGGCUGGACCUCAACCUGAUAAUGGCCUUGGCAAGCUCCGAAAAAGCCUCACUGUUCAAACUGGUACUCAUAUAUAUAAUUCUCAAAACCAUAUACUCCUAUAUAUACAGGCAGUGAGUUCCGUUGAAUUCAAAUUGAUCCUCAUAAAUAUCUAAUUAAUGAAAAACUAAAAGUAUAUAUACAAACAGAAUCAUAGAUCCACAUCCACUGACUUAAUUAAAAUUCUGAAUUUUCAUGUUGAUAUGGUUUAGAGGAUAUAUAUUAAAACAGAUGCUGCCAUGCAAUAUGUUUUGGUUAUAUAAAGAUGGUUUUCGUUUGUUGUUUUCUUGCUUUAAUUUAUGCGAUGCUUUUGUUUAUGGAAUAUAUGGAGUAGGU
rnacentral:lncRNA from 1 species